GACGAACGCGUGGCGGCGUGGAUUAGGCAUGCAAGUCGAACGGUAUCAUCCUUUCGGGGGUGAGAGAGUGGCGAACUGGUGAGUAACACGUAGGUUAUCUACCCUCAAGACGGGGACAACCCAGGGAAACUUGGGCUAAUACCGGAUGUGAGCAACUUUUAGUUGUUUGAAAGGUGGCGUAAGCUGUCGCUUGGGGAUGAGCCUGCGUCCUAUUAGUUAGUUGGUGAGGUAACGGCUCACCUAGGCAAUGAUAGGUAGGCGGCCUUAACGGGUGGUCGCCCACACUGGGAUUGAGAUACGGCCCAGACUCCUACGGGAGGCAGCAGUCGAGAAUAGUCUACAAUGGUCGGAAGACUGAUAGUGCGACGCCGCGUGAACGAUGAAUCCCUUCGGGGUGUAAAGUUCUUUUAUAUGUGAGCAGUGCUUCUUAUAUUAACAGUAUGGGGAGAGAGAUAUUAGCAUAUGAAUAAGCAACGGCUAACUCCGUG
rnacentral:rRNA from 1 species